rnacentral:rRNA from 1 species
UACAGAGGGUGCGAGCGUUAAUCGGAGUUACUGGGCGUAAAGGGCGCGUAGGCGGUGAUAUAUGUGUGAUGUGAAAGCCCCGGGCUUAACCUGGGAAGUGCAUUGCAAACUGUAUUUCUGGAGUAUAUGAGAGGGUGGCGGAAUUUCCGGUGUAGCGGUGAAAUGCGUAGAGAUCGGAAGGAACGUCGAUGGCGAAGGCAGCCACCUGGCAUCAUACUGACGCUGAGGCGCGAAAGCGUGGGGAGCGAACAGGAUUAGAUACCCUGGUAGUCCACGCUGUAAACGAUGAGAACUAGAUGUUGGUUGGGGAACCAAUCGGUAUCGAAGCUAACGCGAUAAGUUUUCCGCCUGGGAAGUACGGCCGCAAGGUUGAA